rnacentral:rRNA from 1 species
AUUGAACGCUGGCGGCAGGCCUAACACAUGCAAGUCGAGCGGUAGCACAGAGAGCUUGCUCUCGGGUGACGAGCGGCGGACGGGUGAGUAAUGUCUGGGAAACUGCCUGAUGGAGGGGGAUAACUACUGGAAACGGUAGCUAAUACCGCAUAACGUCGCAAGACCAAAGAGGGGGACCUUCGGGCCUCUUGCCAUCAGAUGUGCCCAGAUGGGAUUAGCUAGUAGGUGGGGUAACGGCUCACCUAGGCGACGAUCCCUAGCUGGUCUGAGAGGAUGACCAGCCACACUGGAACUGAGACACGGUCCAGACUCCUACGGGAGGCAGCAGUGGGGAAUAUUGCACAAUGGGCGCAAGCCUGAUGCAGCCAUGCCGCGUGUAUGAAGAAGGCCUUCGGGUUGUAAAGUACUUUCAGCGGGGAGGAAGGUGUUGUGGUUAAUAACCACAGCAAUUGACGUUACCCGCAGAAGAAGCACCGGCUAACUCCGUGCCAGCAGCCGCGCGUAAUACGGAGGGUGCAAGCGUUAAUCGGAAUUACUGGGCGUAAAGCGCCGCAGGCGGUCUGUCAAGUCGGAUGUGAAAUCCCCGGGCUCAACCUGGGAACUGCAUUCGAAACUGGCAGGCUAGAGUCUUGUAGAGGGGGGUAGAAUUCCAGGUGUAGCGGUGAAAUGCGUAGAGAUCUGGAGGAAUACCGGU